AACAAAAAAAAAAAAAAAAAAAGUAACCAAUUUAUAAAUUCUAAGAAGAUUAUUUUCUGAAUGUAUAUACCGUAUAUAUUCCAACCCAAAAAUUAAUCACACUACAAAACCUUCAACAAACAAUGUUAAUCAGUGAAAAUGUCUACUAUUGUUUUUCAGGUUCUAGCAAGAUCCAAUAGCCUAAUCAAAAUUUUGAUCACCAAUUUCAAAAGUUUCUAUGUAUUCCAAAACAAGGAGAUGGUGAGGUUCCAAAACAAAAUUGUAUCACAGACAUAAAAAUGUUGAUGUUAAAAAAAAACAAAGGACAUGAUUAAAAGAUAAAAAAAAAAAAAAAAAAAAU